AACGAACGCUGGCGGCAGGCCUAACACAUGCAAGUCGAACGGGAUCUUCGGGUCUAGUGGCGGACGGGUGAGUAACGCGUGGGAACGUGCCCUUUGGUUCGGAAUAGCCCCGGGAAACUGGGAGUAAUACCGGAUAAGCCCUACGGGGGAAAGAUUUAUCGCCAAAGGAUCGGCCCGCGUUGGACUAGGUAGUUGGUGAGGUAAGGGCUCACCAAGCCGACGAUCCAUAGCUGGUUUGAGAGGAUGAACAGCCACACUGGGACUGAGACACGGCCCAGACUCCUACGGGAGGAAGCAGUGGGGAAUCUUAGACAAUGGGGGGAACCCUUAUCUAGCCAUGCCGCGUGAUCGAUGAAGGCCUUAGGGUUGUAAAGAUCUUUCAGUGGGGAAGACAAUGACUGUACCCACAGAAGAAGCCCCGGCUAACUCCGUGCCAGCCGCCGCGGUAAAAC
rnacentral:rRNA from 1 species